AACCUGAUCCAGCCAUGCCGCGUGAGUGAAGAAGGCCUUCGGGUUGUAAAGCUCUUUCAGCCGGAACGAAACGGUCACGGCUAAUACCCGUGACCACUGACGGUACCGGAAGAAGAAGCACCGGCUAACUACGUGCCAGCAGCCGCGGUAA
rnacentral:rRNA from 1 species